GGAGCGAGAGGAGGACCGCCAGAGAGUCAGUGAGGUCCGGCCACUCGGGUGCGCGCUGUGCGUGGCUGCCAUUUUGGAGUCGGGCAGCUGUGACUGUGGCCGGGUCCGGCCGGGAGAAAGGGAGGAGCCAGUCAGGUGGGAGAGAGGCGGUCACGUGGAUUUGAGAGGCGGGGAGAAGCGGGCUGCUGCCUGAGGGGCUGGGGCGGUUGUUGCGAGUCACGGGGGCUGAGGACUGUCACGUGGCUGCAGGAGGACUAGCGGUGGGUUUAGGGUUGGGAAGGUCAGCCUGAGGUGGGAUCCAGGAGAGCGCUUUGUCCUCGCUUUCAACUCUGAGAAGGGGAAAGAGGAAAAUGCUGAAUGGACGACUAUUGCCAUCUACUCCACUUAUCUAAGGCUGAAACUGGUAAUAAUUCUCCAUCUACUUCCUCACUGGUCCAACAUCUCCUUAUCUGCUAUCGUUUGGAUCUGGAAUGUUCCCCAGGAGCCCUUGGCCUACAAUAUUGAGAGGCACAGGAAGGGAGAGCUUGCUUAAGAAUGGAACUAGCUGAGCAUGGUGGCACACACCUAUAAUCUGAGGCAAGAGGAUUGAAAGCUUGAGCCCAGCCUG